AUGGAAGAGCCACACUCAAGAGGCCAAAGAGCCACAUGUGGCUCUCAAGCUGCAAUUUGCCAACCACUGCCCUACGGUGAUAUUAUACAUAAAACAUUUAGCACAGUCACUCCUAUGCUCUCAAUGGACCAUCGCCAUUAUUCCGAUUCCUCAUCUUAUGAUCACGUAUUAGCUAAUGUGAGCUCCAAGUGACUGAGCCAUGAAUCGGACCUUAAUUAACCAGCUCAGAACAUAGCUAUUCCAUGUAUGAAUGGAAUAUUCGUUG